UGGGGAAUAUUGCACAAUGGAGGGAACUCUGAUGCAGCGACGCCGCGUGAACGAAGAAGGCUUUCGAGUCGUAAAGUUCUUUUAUAUGGGAAGAUAAUGACGGUACCAUAAGAAAAAGCCCCGGCUAACUACGUGCCAGCAGCCGCGGUAAUACGUAGGGGGCUAGCGUUGUCCGGAAUCACUGGGCGUAAAGGGUUCGCAGGCGGAAAUGCAAGUCAGGUGUAAAAGGCAGUAGCUUAACUACUGUAAGCAUUUGAAACUGCAUAUCUUGAUAAGAGUAGAGGUAAGUGGAAUUUUUAGUGUAGCGGUGAAAUGCGUAUAUAUUAAAAAGAAUACCGGUGGCGAAGGCGGCUUACUGGGCUCAUUCUGACGCUGAGGAACGAAAGCGUGGGUAGCAAACAGG
rnacentral:rRNA from 1 species